CCUUCCUUCCUUCCUUCCUUCCUUCCUUCCUUCCUGUCCUCCCUUCUUUUCCUCCCUUCUUUCCCUUCUUUCCCUUCUUUCCCUUCUUUCCCUUUUUUCUCCUUCUUUCCCGUCUUUUCCUUUUUCCCCCUUCUUUCCCUUCUCUUCCUUCUCAGCCCAGCUGAGCCCGAGCAGUUUCUAUACACACACAAAUCCACCUCCCCAGAGAAAGUUGCUGCGGUCGCGUUUCUGGCAGUGGUUCCCAAGCCCUCUUGCGAGCCCUGCCUCUGCCCCACGCUCCUCUCCGCCACGGACGGCUCUCCGGUCGGAUGGGAUGCGCCGGGAGCUGGGUUGGGGAAGGCAGGCUCGUUUCCACCGCUAAACAAAGGCUGGAAACGCACCAACAAAGGACCUGGCGCGGCCCCUCCGCCCCGUGCGAGAGCCGCAGAGCUACUGCAGCCCUCUACGCUUCCUCUUGAGGUUUGCAUUGUUUUUGAGAGUUGAUGUUACAAACAGAGGCCUGAAGGAUCCAUGAAGGGAUUAACUGAGGUUCUUGAUACUGUUUGUUUGUAUCCUGGCUGCAGUCAAGAAUUGGAAAGCCUGUUCUCCUCAGUGUUCUUCACCAUGAGAGCUCAAUAAAUACUUGCAAGAUUUGCCUGCCAGUGGUAAGGAGAAUGAGAUAAAAAACCACUGCAAGCAUGUGAAGGGCCUGGGAGCAGCAAGUCUUGAGGAAGCUGUGAUGCAGUUCCAAGCAUAUAGAGAACACAAGGCAGCUUACAGAGACAAACACUGCUGUCAGCUGAAGUGAAACACUGGAGUCUGUGGUUCAUAGUUCUCCACACCGAUACUUUCUUGGAGGUGACAAUCCCAACAAUAGCUGUUGUGGUACUUCUGGCCCUUGUGAAGCCUUUCUUUGUUGUCUCAAAGAUUAAGAAAAGCCAGCAAGUGAGCAUCCUGGUAGAUUUCUCAUCGAACUUGAGACUUUUUGCCUCUCCUGGUUUAUGUGAGAUGCAGUGUGCCAUGAAUCUAAGUGUUUAAGUGGAUGUUCCUUUGCUCACCUUUCUCAAAGGAUCACAGUCAAGUCUUCCCUUGUAAUCAGUUAGUCUGACCUAAGUACAAAGCUCAAGGCCAGCCCCCCUGUAAAAAAAUAAAUACUGACAGAUGAGUGACAGGGAGGUUUCCUGGGACUGCUGUACUGCCUGCCUGCAGUCAUGUUGUGUUGCCUGAGCUCUUCUCACCCAGUUCCAUUAUGAAAGCCAUGUCUAGAACACAUGUGUUUUGCAGUCAAUCCUUUCUUCCCUAUUCCAUCUCACAGGGGAGUAAUUGCUAGCACUUUCCUUUCACUCCCAUCUUUAAUGUCUCCUUUAAACAAUUUGGUCACAUAUUUAAUAUUUAGACUUAAGUCAAUUCUAGGAUGGGAUCCAAAUCUCCUGUAUAUUCCUAUUUCUGGCUUAACUGAGUGUUGUAGGAGAUACUGGCUGAAUUUACUCUGUGUUUUUACUCUGUCUUUAAGACAGCAAUAACUGUCCUGGAGAUGCUGU